GACGAACGCUGGCGGCGUGCUUGACACAUGCAAGUCGAACGGAAAGGCCCUGCUUUUGUGGGGUGCUCGAGUGGCGAACGGGUGAGUAACACGUGAGUAACCUGCCCUUGACUUUGGGAUAACUUCAGGAAACUGGGGCUAAUACCGGAUAGGAGCUCCUGCUGCAUGGUGGGGGUUGGAAAGUUUCGGCGGUUGGGGAUGGACUCGCGGCUUAUCAGCUUGUUGGUGGGGUAGUGGCUUACCAAGGCUUUGACGGGUAGCCGGCCUGAGAGGGUGACCGGCCACAUUGGGACUGAGAUACGGCCCAGACUCCUACGGGAGGCAGCAGUGGGGAAUAUUGCACAAUGGGCGGAAGCCUGAUGCAGCAACGCCGCGUGCGGGAUGACGGCCUUCGGGUUGUAAACCGCUUUCGCCUGUGACGAAGCGUGAGUGACGGUAAUGGGUAAAGAAGCACCGGCUAACUACGUGCCAGCAGCCGCGGUGAUACGUAGGGUGCGAGCGUUGUCCGGAUUUAUUGGGCGUAAAGGGCUCGUAGGUGGUUGAUCGCGUCGGAAGUGUAAUCUUGGGGCUUAACCCUGAGCGUGCUUUCGAUACGGGUUGACUUGAGGAAGGUAGGGGAGAAUGGAAUUCCUGGUGGAGCGGUGGAAUGCGCAGAUAUCAGGAGGAACACCAGUGGCGAAGGCGGUUCUCUGGGCCUUUCCUGACGCUGAGGAGCGAAAGCGUGGGGAGCGAACAGGCUUAGAUACCCUGGUAGUCCACGCUGUAAACGGUGGGUACUAGGUGUGGGGUCCAUUCCACGGGUUCCGUGCCGUAGCUAACGCUUUAAGUACCCCGCCUGGGGAGUACGGCCGCAAGGCUAAAAUUCAAAGGAAUUGACGGGGCCCCGCACAAGCGGCGGAGCAUGCGGAUUAAUUCGAUGCAACGCGUAGAACCUUACCUGGGUUUGACAUGGAUCGGGAGUGCUCAGAGAUGGGUGUGCCUCUUUUGGGGUCGGUUCACAGGUGGUGCAUGCCUGUCGUCAGCUCGUGUCGUGAGAUGUUGGGUUAAGUCCCGCAACGAGCGCAACCCUUGUUCACUGUUGCCAGCACGUUAUGGUGGGGACUCAGUGGAGACCGCCGGGGUCAACUCGGAGGAAGGUGGGGAUGACGUCAAGUCAUCAUGCCCCUUAUGUCCAGGGCUUCACGCAUGCUACAAUGGCUGGUACAGAGAGUGGCGAGCCUGUGAGGGUGAGCGAAUCUCGGAAAGCCGGUCUCAGUUCGGAUUGGGGUCUGCAACUCGACCCCAUGAAGUCGGAGUCGCUAGUAAUCGCAGAUCAGCAACGCUGCGGUGAAUACGUUCCCGGGGCU
rnacentral:rRNA from 1 species